rnacentral:ncRNA from 1 species
UAUGACUCUCUUAAGGUAUCUAGAUGCCUCUAUGUCAUCUAAUUAGUGACAUGCAUGAAUGGAUUAACAAGAUUCCAACUGUCCCAAGCUACUAUCUAGAGAAACCACGGCAAAGGGAACGAGCUUGCCAGAAUUAGAGGGGAAAGAAGACCCUGUUGAGAUUGACUCUAGUCCAACUUUGUGAAAUGUCUUGAGAGGUGUAGAAUAAGUGGGAGUUGUUUUCAUCGCAAGUGAAAUACCACUACGUUUAACGUUAUUUUAAUUAUUUCAUGGGGUAAAGAUGAGGCAUUGCACAUAUGUUAAAAUAUAAUGCAAAUUUCCUUUGUAUUGCUUUGUAUUUCCAAGACAUAACCUUCUUCAUUUAUUGGAUUGCAAUUUUGUACCAUUUGAAAAGGCAUUUUCCAUAUUUGGUUGAGAGGACAAAUUUUGUCCCUAGUUGUUAUUGCCUCUCUAUUUUCAUU